rnacentral:rRNA from 1 species
AUUCCAGCUCCAAUAGCGUAUAUUAAAGUUGUUGCAGUUAAAACGCUCGUAGUCGGAUUUCGGGGCGGGCCGACCGGUCUGCCGAUGGGUAUGCACUGGCCGGCGCGUCCUUCCACCCGGAGACCGCGCCUACUCUUAACUGAGCGGGCGCGGGAGACGGGUCUUUUACUUUGAAAAAAUCAGAGUGUUUCAAGCAGGCAGUCGCUCUUGCAUGGAUUAGCAUGGGAUAAUGAAAUAGGACUCUGGUGCUAUUUUGUUGGUUGGAGGCCAAGGUAAUGAUUAAUAGGGAUAGUUGGGGGUAUUCAUAUUUAAUUGUCAGAGGUGAAAUUCUUGGAUUUAUGAAAGAUGAACUCAUGCGAGAGCAUUUACCAAGGAUGUUUUCAUUA